rnacentral:rRNA from 1 species
UACGGGGGGGGGCAAGCGUUGUUCGGAAUUACUGGGCGUAAAGGGCUCGUAGGCGGCCAACUAAGUCAGACGUGAAAUCCCUCGGCUUAACCGGGGAACUGCGUCUGAUACUGGAUGGCUUGAAUCCGGGAGAGGGAUGCAGAAUUCCAGGUGUAGCGGUGAAAUGCGUAGAUAUCUGGAGGAAUACCGGUGGCGAAGGCGGCAUCCUGGACCGGCAUUGACGCUGAGGAGCGAAAGCUAGGGGAGCAAACGGG